UUGUCCAGUCCAAGUAUAAAGAAAAAAAAGAGGAAUAAAAACCGGGAAAAGAUCUUAACAGCUGAAUACAGCAAAAAGAAAGAAAUAUUGUGCGUUUAUAAAGUAAAAGUGUGUUAAGUGCCAAUCUCAAUUGGAAAUUAAUUUUUCAGAUUGGCGGUUAGUACCGGCUUAAACUUCGGGCAAUCGUUUGGGUACCUGUCUGAACCCCAAUACGAAAGCUCGCAACAACAAUUUCCCCGAUAUUAGGGCCUCCGCCCGCGGCAAGGGACUUAUGCUCCUCGCCCAACUACAGCACCGUACCAAAAAUUCCCAGCGCUAGGCCGAGCAGCACAAAGCGGGAGGCGUAAAAGAUCGGCUCAUCAGUCGCUUUGCGGGAGCGAGCCACUUAUGUGUCACGGACCCGCGAUAUAUUGGAGGCCGUCCAAUUCUGCGGAAAUUAUUAAAGCUAUGUAAACGGUCAGCCAAUUUCUACCCGAAAUAUAGAUCUGGGUCUCGACCUAUUUUCGUUUCCCCAUACGAAGUGCCGAGGAGUGCCCAGAUGUGAAGCCGGCGGCAACGACUGUCGUUUUUUUUUAUAUCCAUCAGUGUAACCGCUGAUUCCUAUUUUUAUGCUAUAGCGUCAUUAGUGUAAUUAGCUUAGUAAAUUUCUUUUGGUUGUGUUUUUAAACUCUGUUCGGAAGAAAUAGCAAGUGGAAUGUGUGACAGGGCGAAAGUGAACAACGGUUAAACGGCAGAGGAGAGCGUGAGUUUUUUUUUGUAAAAGUAUUUCUCCAGCUUUCGUUUUAGGAACGUUGCCGCAGUCCAUGGAAGCGCUUUCAUCGCUGUUUCAACGCAUUUAUUAAAACAAAUCAAAGGAAGGCCUCAGGGGCUUCGUCGCUUAAGAGAGGCUGUGCGCUCUCCCUUAUGCCCUGCUGGCAACCAUAAGCGCUUACGCCGCGCAUAAGAACCAGCCCUCUUAAGAACAAGGCACAAAAGGGAAGAUGCGAGGCUGGUCGCUCUGACGUUCUUUUAUGCUUUCUACUUGCGGUUGCUUUCGCUAAUGCACUUGAAUAACUGACCUGCCAUAACGAUCGCCGCGCACAGUUUUUACAUUCCCUUUUGCAUAUUUAUUUAUUAUUAUUAUCUAUUUGCCUAACAUAAAAGCUGGAGAUAUGUACCCUUUCCUUCUUUCAAUUUGUAAGUUAAAUUUCAAUCUAAAGUGUAUUAUUAAGAGUUAAUCAUUUAUUAGUUUACUAGUGCGAUGCAUGUGCUAUUGCUCAAUAUGAAAUAUAGGAUUUAACAUGAA